CCUCCUCCUCUUCUCCUUUCCCUCCUCCUCCUUCUUCUUCUCCUUUUCCUCCUCCUCCUCCUCGCUGGCCCAUGUGCCACUCAAGCUUUCUGGAUCUAUUGGAUUUUCUUGAGCUAAGUUAUGAGAAAGGUUCUUACUUAUAAAUCCCCAUAUGGAUGAACUCGCCCCUUCUCUCCCAUUAUCCCAGGACAGAUCCCAGGACUCUCUAUCAGGACUUUAUAGUUGACUUUUCCCCAUUAAUGUGACUGUUUGAGCCUCGCCAUCCACUUGCUCUCCAAUUCACUUUCACUCUGCUGUAAUCCCGUCUCCAAUUCUUCAUUGUCCAUAUCAGUAACAUGAUCUUCGCAAACGUCUACGACUAAAGGGCACAGUGGGGAGUGGUGAGACUGGGAUGAGGAAGACCUGAGAUCAAAUCUCGUCUCAGACACUUUCCAUCCGUGUGGCUCUGGGUUAGUCGCAUAACAAUAAUACUGGUGAAGUGAUAAUUGUAAAGUGUUUAGUGCAUAGUAAGUACUAAUAAAUGUUAGCUGUUAUUAUUUUUACUUAUUCUUUGCCCCAGUUUCCUCUAUAAAAUGGGGAUAAUAAUAGCACCCCUGUCCCACUGAGAUUUUCACUCCUUCCCCUAAGAUCUCUGGACCCAAAAAUCUUUCUUUCUUUUUUCCUUUUCUUUUCCUUUCUCUUUCUUUCUUUCUUUCUUUCUUUCUUUCUUUCUUUCUUUCUUUCUUUCUUUCUUUCUUUCUUUCUUUCUUUCUUUCUUUCUUCUUUCUUUCUUUCUUUCUUUCCUUCCUUCCUUCCUUUUUUUCCUGAAACAAUCAGGGUUAAGUGAUUUGUCCAGGGUCACACAGCUAGGAAGUGUUAAGUGUCUGAGGUCAAAUUUGAACUCAGGUCUUCCUGACUUCAGGGCUGGUGCUCUAUUCACUGCGCCACCUAGCUGCCCCCAGACCAUUUUCUUGCAGAGAAAAAUGACACAAACUAAUCUUGCCUUCCAUACUUCUAGGAGCAUCAACCUCACCAAUCUUGGGAAGGUCUGAAAUCUCUAGCUCCUUAACAUUUGUCCUAGCCCAGGUGUUUCUUGGAGAUGCCCAAAUAUCUUUUGAGACAUCACUCUUUAGUACCUCACUUUUAAGGUAUCACGGAGGAAGAAGGAAAUUGUCCUGUCACCAUGUCUAUUAGAAUUGGGAGGAUCAAAUGAGAUAAUUGUAAAGUAUUUAGCAAUGUUCCUGGCACAUGAUAGGUGCUAUAAAAUGCUCAAUUUAAAAAGAAAACAACAAAACCUUAAAAAACCAAACCCAGUAAAGUUCCUUCUAUGUACAUGUUACAACCAGUUUAGUAACCCUAGGCACUGAAAGGAACCAGGUUAGUCUGGCUUGACCUGUUCUUCCUAAAGGCACGGAGGCGCUUUGUGACAGGGACUUCCUUCUUGAGGUAUUCACUCACUGUCACUAGAACAAUAUUGCAAUCCUGGCUUGCAGCAGCUCUUUGAAAAUCUCAAGUGCCUCGUGCUUUCCCCCUUCAUUUCCAAUCGCCACUGAGGAAAGAGGAAGUCAGGGUCCUUCUUGGACCUGGUUUUUGAACCCAAGUCUAAGAUUCUAGCUAUCUCCAAUAAGUUUCAUCUCAUCAGAUUUGACCUAGGCUUCUAGGCGUUCAAGAUCUUCCUGGUUCCUUCCUCUAGAAUCCAGCUCUGGUCAAAAAUAUUAAGCCCAGAGGCAAUGUGAUAUAGAGAGAGAGAAGUUGGAAAGACCCGAGUUCAAGUUCCCCUUUAGACAUAUGGUGUCUAUGAAACCUUGGGCAAGACACUUAACCUCAAAUUCUUGGGCAUCUGAAGGUCAGACUUGGCAGCAUGGAUCCUUGGCAGAAAUGUUCUUAUAACAUUCCACAAGCUGCUUAAGUUGCUGGGAAAAGGAGCUGGAAACCUAUGAGAGAAACCGCAAGACGGCACUCAGUGCCAUUCCCUGGGGCUCACGGCAGAUUGCCAAGCUCAUGGCUCCGAGUGGUAUGAUAGCCAUUUCUUUCUUCCUCUUCGGCACCUUGGAAGUCCUG
ensembl:lncRNA